AGCUCAGUUGGCAGAGUGCUUGCCUUGCAUGCAGAAGGCCCUGGGUUCAAUCCCCAG
rnacentral:tRNA from 1 species